GACGAACGCUGGCGGCGUGGAUUAGGCAUGCAAGUCGAACGGUAUCAUCCUUUCGGGGGUGAGAGAGUGGCGAACUGGUGAGUAACACGUAGGUUAUCUACCCUCAAGACGGGGACAACCCAGGGAAACUUGGGCUAAUACCGGAUGUGAGCAACUUUUAGUGUUUGAAAGGUGGCGUAAGCUGGGUCGCUUGGGGAUGAGCCUGCGUCCUAUUAGUUAGUUGGUGAGGUAACGGCUCACCUAGGCAAUGAUAGGUAGGCGGCCUUAACGGGUGGUCGCCCACACUGGGAUUGAGAUACGGCCCAGACUCCUACGGGAGGCAGCAGUCGAGAAUAGUCUACAAUGGUCGGAAGACUGAUAGUGCGACGCCGCGUGAACGAUGAAUCCCUUCGGGGUGUAAAGUUCUUUUAUAUGUGAGCAGUGCUUCUUAUAUUAACAGUAUGGGGAAGAGAUAUUAGCAUAUGAAUAAGCAACGGCUAACUCCGUGCCAGCAGCCGCGGUAAGCACG
rnacentral:rRNA from 1 species